GUUGUAAGGUUAAGAAAUUAAGCGUACACGGUGGAUGCCUAGGCAUUUAGAGGCGAAGAAGGACGUGUUAAUCUGCGAAAAGCGACGGUGAGCUGAUAAAAGGCGCUAUAACCGUCGAUGUCCGAAUGGGGAAACCCAAUGUAGGUAACUACAUUAUUGCUUGAUGAAUCCAUAGUCAAGUGAGGCGAACCGGGAGAACUGAAACAUCUAAGUACCCCGAGGAAAAGAAAUCAACCGAGAUUCCCCGAGUAGCGGCGAGCGAAAGGGGAGGAGCCCAAAGCGGGUAGCAUAACGAGUUAGUGGAAGCGUCUGGAAAGUCGCACGACAGAGGGUGAAAGUCCCGUACAUGAAGAUUCGUUAUGUGGAAGCUUGAAGAGUAGGGCGGGACACGUGAUAUCCUGUCUGAAUAUGGGGGGACCAUCCUCCAAGGCUAAAUACUCCUAAAUGACCGAUAGUGAACCAGUACCGUGAGGGAAAGGCGAAAAGAACCCCGGGAGGGGAGUGAAAUAGACCCUGAAACCGUGUACGUACAAUCAGUGGGAGCGUAUAUCGUUAGGUAUAUGUGACUGCGUACCUUUUGUAUAAUGGGUCAGCGACUUAUAUUCUGUAGCAAGGUUAACCGAAAAGGGGAGCCGAAGGGAAACCGAGUAUUAACUGUGCGAAGAGUUGCAGGGUAUAGACCCGAAACCCGGUGAUCUAGCCAUGGGC
rnacentral:rRNA from 1 species